rnacentral:piRNA from 1 species
UGAAAAUCUAUCCUAGGGAGGUCUCCAGA